AGAGAAUUGACCGAGUGGUUUAUGGUGGUAAGCUUGAGUCUUAUUUGGCUAUUAAAGUCACAUCCGUUCGAAUCGGAUAUUCUCUG
rnacentral:tRNA from 1 species